CCCUUAGAUGUUCUGGGCCGCACGCGCGCUACACUGUUCGACGCAGCGAGUCUUAACCUUGACCGAAAGGUUUGGGUAAUCUUCAGCAAAGUCGAACGUGAUAGGGAUCGAUCAUUGCAAUUAUUGAUCGUGAACGAGGAAUUCCUAGUAAGUGCAAGUCAUCAGCUUGCGCUGAUUACGUCCCUGCCCUUUGUACACACCGCCCGUCGCUACUACCGAUUGAAUGGUUUAGUGAGAUCUCUGGAUUGACGCUGGCUAGGGGGCGACCCUUGGCCAGACUGUUGAGAAACUGCUCAAACUUGAUCAUUUAGAGGAAGUAAAAGUCGUAACA
rnacentral:rRNA from 1 species